GCAUCUCAGCUUCCUUUUUCAGAGAAACUUGAAUUUCCAUGGAAACCAGACAGGCAAAGAAUAAAGGAUGUCUGGAGCCAAAUGUGGAUGAACCAACUCCUGCUGGGCAGCAGCUGGAAUUUCACAUUUUUCUUGUUUCCUGCUGGUCUCUCAAUUUCAUUUUGAAAUGUUCUUUCAGUGCUGACUUCACUGUAAUUU
rnacentral:lncRNA from 1 species